rnacentral:misc_RNA from 1 species
GGAAAGUGGAGCCAACCCAUCUUCCAUGGAUAUCCUAUACAGUAUGUCAUCGUCUGCAUAAAUCCUUGAAUUUCAGGUAGAAACCUACCAUUAAUAAACGUGCAUUUGACUGGUAGUAAAAUGUGACGUUUGCUUGUAUAAAUUCAGAGGCUACAUCUGCAAAUUUACUCACAACUUCCCAUAGACUGAACACAAAGAUAUACUGUUAUUAGAGAUAAGAAGAUGCACAACCCUCCACCACCAGAUCCCCACCAUCACCACCACCCACCACCACAACAAGCACCGCCUCCGGGUCCUCCGCACCAUGAACCUCCUCCUCCUAGCCAUGCUCCUCCACCGGGUUCCCAGGCGCCUCCACCAGGUCCUCCUGAGCCACGCAAACCUGGACCACCUCAUCAUCACCAUCCUUAAUUGAUUAUAAAAUAAUGGAUGGUUUUAGCACACAUGGAGGCGCAUAAUAGAGCAUAUAUGUGUAUAUGUAUACAUAUGCAUGGUGUUGAAGCCACUUAAUUUCUACUUUUUGCAUAUAUAUGCUACUGGGGCUGGCUAGCUCACAUGCCAGGUCCUGAUUAAUGUAUGCUGUUUGUUAUGUUAAAUAAUUAUAAUAAAAUGGGUAGCAUUUUAA